GAUGAACGCUGGCGGCGUGCCUAAUACAUGCAAGUCGAGCGAACAGACGAGGAGCUUGCUCCUCUGACGUUAGCGGCGGACGGGUGAGUAACACGUGGAUAACCUACCUAUAAGACUGGGAUAACUGCGGGAAACCGGAGCUAAUACCGGAUAAUAUAUUGAACCGCAUGGUUCAAUAGUGAAAGACGGUUUUGCUGUCACUUAUAGAUGGAUCUGCGCCGCAUUAGCUAGUUGGUAAGGUAACGGCUUACCAAGGCAACGAUGCGUAGCCGACCUGAGAGGGUGAUCGGCCACACUGGAACUGAGACACGGUCCAGACUCCUACGGGAGGCAGCAGUAGGGAAUCUUCCGCAAUGGGCGAAAGCCUGACGGAGCAACGCCGCGUGAGUGAUGAAGGUCUUCGGAUCGUAAAACUCUGUUAUUAGGGAAGAACAAAUGUGUAAGUAACUAUGCACGUCUUGACGGUACCUUAUCAGAAAGCCACGGCUAACUACGUG
rnacentral:rRNA from 1 species